rnacentral:lncRNA from 1 species
CAGUACCCAAGAGGAGCCUCUAGUCCAGUUCUCAGAGUUGGGGUCAGUUGCUUUUCUGCUGUGGGUACUGCUGCCAUGGGAUCCAGGGACCCACUGGAGACAUUGUUUUGACUCAGCCUCCAGAUUGAAUGCCUCUGUUUCUCAGGCAGAGGGCCACUAUCUCCUGGAGGGCCAGCAGGAGUGUCAUUACAUUUGGCAUUAAUGAUAUGCACUGAUGGAUAAACUAUAGAGGCCAAAGAGUACAAGGCAUGGUCAUAGGAACUCAACUUCAUGGAAACCCUCCACUGCUUCAUGAACAGUGAACUUCUUUUGGCUUUUGUAUCAUUACCAUGUGGAGUGAAAAAGUUAAAUAAAAAUAAUUUUAGCAACACUUUCAUAUGUGCCUGUGCAGAUACUGUGAUCACUCCUUCCUCCCCAGCUGUGUCAGUAGUAGAAGUUCACCUUUAUCUGCAAGUCCAGUCAGAAUCUUUUAUACAGUGAAAAUCAGAAUACUUGGCCUAGCACCAGAAGAAACCAAGCCAAGCUCCUAAACUCCUUAUUACCUGGGCAUCUAAUUGGCACAAUGGGGU